ACGAUCUCAAAUGAAGUCAGACAACCCGCUGAAUUUAAGCAUAUUAUUAAGCGGAGGAAAAGAAACUAACAAGGAUUCCCUCAGUAACGGCGAGUGAAGCGGGAAGAGCUCAAGAUGGGAAUCGUCUAUGUUUCUACGUAGACGAAUUGUAAUCUUGUGAUGUAGUGUCAGGUUGGUAUGUACAUGUAAAUACACUGGAAUGUGUUAUCAUAGAAGGUGAGAAUCCUGUAUGUUGUGUAUAUAAACCACCGUACGACCUAUAUUCUUCGAGUCGCGUUGCUUGGGAGUGCAGCGCAAAGUGGGAGGUACAUGCCUUCUAAAGCUAAAUAAUGGCGAGAGACCGAUAGUGAACAAGUACCGUGAGGGAAAGAUGACAAGCACCUGGAAACGGGAGUGAAAAGAGCUUGAAAUUGUCAAGAGAGAAGCACUGGGGAGUUUUCUAGGAUUGUUUGGAUAUGGAGGGAAUAUGUAGAUCUAGUACUGUGGUAUGAUUUCGUAAGAGACAUAUAUAUUGCUAGUAUUUGUAUAAGAACUACCAGCAAAUAAUCCCGUUAUCCUUUGUUUGGAUACAUAGAGAGUUUUAUAACAAGGUAGCUCAUUCUAUAAUUUCGGUUAUAGAUCAAUACGAGAACAUAUAGGUUAUAAGAAGUAUAUGGAUCUAGACAAAGUUUAUUCCACAAAGUUGAUAUAUGAUUGUAGAUCGCUUGUUAAUGCUAUUACAUGUGUAUACGUACCUUGUAGUAUCCUUAAUAACCCUGUCUAUAACACAAGUUGAUUUUGGAUAACGAGAAAGACCCUCAAUGACCCGUCUUGAAACACGGACCAAGGAGUCUAACGCCUAUGCGAGUAUUCGAGUGUGUAAAACUCUAGAAUGCGUAGUGAAAGCGGAGAGAAUUGAUUGCAAUUCUUGUGGUAUGAGAUAUAUAUUUCUUGUGAAUAUCAUAUUGCAAUACCAACCGAUCGAGCUAUCUUUGUACUUGUACAAAUGACCCGAUUUGAGUUUGAGCAUAGUUGUUGGGACCCGAAAGAUGGUGAUCUAUGCCUGAGCAGGGUGAAGCCAGGGGAAACUCUGGUGGAGGCUCGUAGCGAUACUGACGUGCAAAUCGUUCGUCUGACUUGGGUAUAGGGGCGAAAGACUAAUCGAACCAUCUAGUAGCUGGUUCUCCCCGAAGUUUCCCUCAGGAUAGCAAACAAUGUGUGAUAGUUUUACCCGGUAAAGCGAAUGAUUAGAGGUUUAUGGAACUCUUUUGUUCUGUGCCUAUUCUCAAACUUUUAAUAGGUAAGAUAUUCUAUGUUACUUUAUGGAACUAGAAUGUGGAAUAUAUAUUGUUUAGUGGGCCAUUUUUGGUAAGCAGAACUGGCGAUGCGGGAUGAACCGGUCGUGGAGAUUAAGGUGCCAAAGAAGUCACUCAUCUAGAUACUGCAAAAGGUGUUAUUUCAUAUGGACAGCAGGACGGUGGUCAUGGAAGUCGAAAUCCGCUAAGGAGUGUGUAACAACUCACCUGCCGAAUGGAAUAGCCCUGAAAAUGGAUGGCGCUAAAGUGAUUCACCUAAAUCUCACCAUAAUAUCAAAUCGUACAUUAUGGAAUGUAUACUAAUAGGAUAUUAUGUGUAGGGGAGCGUGGUGUUCUUUGUCAAUAUUCUAUCGUGAGAUAGAUAGGAAAGGAUACUAGUGCAGAUCUUGGUGGUAGUAGCAAUGAUUCAAAUGUGAUCUUUGAAGACUGACGUGGAGAAAGGUUCCAUGGGAAACGUCUUGUUCCAUGGGUUAGUCGAUCCUAAGUUGGUACCGAAAGGUUGUACAUGAUAGGUGUGUUAGCUUUGUUAUUGUGCGCAGUAGCGAAUGAAUCAUACCAUCUCCAACGAAAGGGAAAUAGGUUCAUAUUCCUAUACCCAUACGAUGCAAAUAGAUAAACAUUGGUAACAAAAGGAACAUCCGAGACAUUCGUUUGUAAUCUCUGAAGAAAUUUCUCUUCUUUUUAACAGUUUAUGUGGUAGGCAUACUACAUUCUUUCUAUGUGUAACAACAUAGAAAUGGUAACACCAUGGAAGCGUAUUGUACGGAGAUAUGGUUGUACAACUGGGAAAGGUGAUACUUUAUGUAUUUUUACUAUGUAAAAUAAGUAAAAUCACUAGAGAACUUACAAAAGGAUCCUUGAAAAUCGGAUAGACUGCUUAUGCGUUGUCAUCGUGGUUCGUACUCAUAACCGCAUCAGGUCUCCAAGGUGAAUAGCCUCUAGUCUAUAGAAUAAUGUAGGUAAGGGAAGUCGGCAAAAUAGAUCCGUAACUUUGGGAAAAGGAUUGGCUCAAUGGGAUGCUCUAAUCUCGUAUUAGAACAACAUCCACCAUUGAACUGAAACGGACAAGAGGAAUCCGACUGUUUAAUUAAAACAAAGCAUUGCGAUGGUUCGCAACGAAUGUUUACGCAAUGUGAUUUCUGCCCAGUGCUUUGAAUAUCAAUGUGGAGAAAUUCAAGUAAGUAGUGGUCAACGGCGGGAGUAACUAUGACUCUCUUAAGGUAGCCAAAUGCCUCGUCGUCUAAUUAGCGACGCGCAUGAAUGGAUUAAUGAGAUUCCUACUGUCCCUAUCUACGAUCUAGCGAAACCACAGCCAAGGGAACGGGCUUGGAAAUUUCAGCGGGGAAAGAAGACCCUCUUGAGCUUGACUCUAGUCUGACUUGGUGAAUUGACUCGAUUGGUGUAGCAUAUGUGGGAGUACGCAAGUACAAUAGUGAAAUACCACAACUUUCGACGUUAAUUUGCUCAUCUAUUUAGUAUCUCACAUCUUAUUGAAGUAUUUUAGAGACUCAUAGAAACAAAGUCAGGUGGGGAGUUUGACUGGGGCGGUACAUCUGUUAAACGAUAACACAGGUGUCCUAAGAUGAGCUCAACGAGAGCAGAAAUCUCGUGUAGAACAAAAGGGUAAAAGCUCAUUUAAUUGUUGAUUUUCAGUACGAAUACAAAUAAUGAAAGUUUGGCCUAUCGAUCCUUUAGUUGCAUAAUCUUAUAAAGCAUGUUUAUCUAGAGGUGUCAGAAAAGUUACCAAAGGGAUAACUGGCUUGUGGCAGCCAAGAGUUCAUAUCGACGUUGCUUUUUGAUUCUUCGAUGUCGGCUCUUCCUAU
rnacentral:rRNA from 1 species